rnacentral:tRNA from 1 species
GCCUUUUUAGCUCAGCGGUAGAGCACUUCACUCGUAAUGAAGGGGUCAACGGUUCAAAUCCGUUAAAAGGCU